rnacentral:rRNA from 1 species
CGACGCCGCGUGGGGAUGAAGCUUUUCGGAGUGUAAACCCCUUUCGACCCGGACGAAAAUCUCGCAAGAGGAUUGACGGUACGGGUAUAAGAAGCCCGGCUAACUACGUGC